UUUUUUUUUUUUUUUUUUUUUUUUUUUGGUCUUUUGUAGGGCCACACUGGUGGCAUAUGGAUGUUCCCAGGCCAGGGGUCUAAUCAGAGCUGUAGCUGCUGCCCUAUGCCAGAGCCACAGCAGCAAGGGAUCCAAGCCGUGUCUGCGACCCACACCACAGCUCACAGCAACACCAGAUUCUUAAACCACUGAGCAAGGCCAGGGAUCAAACCUGCAACCUCAUGGUUCCUAGUCGGAUUCGUUAACCGCUGAGCCAUGACGGGAACUCCUAUAAGUACAUUUUUGAAAAGACUUCCUUAGCAAAGAAAUGUUUUUAUGCCAUAACUGUAAAUAUACAUUUUAAACUUCUAAGAUUUUUUUAUUUUUAUUUUUUUGUCUUUUUGUCCUUUUAGGGCCACACCUGCGGCAUAUGGAGGUUCCCAGGCUAGGGGUCUAAUCGGAGCUGUUGCUGCCAGCCUUCGCCAGAGCCACAGCAAUGCCAGAUCCGAGCCGCAUCUGCGACCUACACCACAGCUCACGGCAACGCCAGAUCCUUAACCCACUGAGCGAGGCCAGGGAUCAAACCCGUAACCUCAUGGUUCCUAGUUGGAUUCAUUUCCACUGCGCCACGACAGGAACUCCAAACUUCUAAGGUUUUAAAUCCUAUAAAAUCAAGCUAAAGGUGACUAUAGCCAGUUAUUUUUAAUAUAGUAGGAAGAUUCUGCUCAGGUAGUAUUAUACAGCUCUAAGGUUUUACCAAAUAUUCGAGGUCACAACAUAUUUAAAUGUGAUAACUGAAUGUAAGUGAUCAAAGCAGUCAACUUACGUAAUUAUAAAUAUACAUCCGAAUGAUCUAUUAUUCCCUUCCUCAUAUUUGAGAAACUAAUUUUUUGCUUUUUAGUAUAAUAUGGACUAUUUAAAUAGCACUUUGCACUUUACAAAAACUUUCAUAUGUACCAUACAUUCUCAAUGGGAGUGAUACUGUUCUUGAAAGGAUGAAAAAUUGGUUGGGGGGAUUCUGAGAUAUUACAAUGGUUUAAGGCCUUCCAACAGGCCACAGUACAUAAACAAAUACACAGUAUUUCGGCACCUAACUGUGACUUAGGUGAGUCAUAAAGAAAUAAAAGGUUUACAAACACAAAUACCACCUUAUUUGAUCAUCCCAACCAUCUAGUAGGUAAGACGUGUAGCAGUCCUCUUUUUAAAAAGCAUAUGAGAAAAAUAAAGCUGGAAGAAUGAAAGGAAUGAAUAAAGGAGAGCAAUGGGUAGUACACAGCCAAAUGAAAUGUUACUGCGUAUCAAUAUGUGUAUGUGUACAUACAACAUAAAAAUAAUGUGCAACCUCACUCAUAAUUAAAGAAAUGUCAACUAAAAAAAAUUAGAUGUAAUUCUCAUCAAAUUUGCAAAAUAAAAAAGGGGGGAUAAUACCUAGAGUUGAUAAGGAUAUGGAGAAAUAUGCAUUUUGAUUUUGAUUAACUUAAUUAUAGAAGCACAAGUUUUUGAAAAGCAAUCUGGCAUCGACUAUCAAAAUUACAAACGCAUAUACCCUUUGAUUCAGCAAUUCUACUGCUAGGAAUUUAUCCUACUGACAUACCCUCCAGGCAAAUGUAUGCAGCAAGAGGUUGACUGUAUUAGUCAAAAACUAUAAAUAACCUAAAUAUCCAUUAAUAAGGAACUGGUUUUAUAAAUUAUGGUAACCUAGAAAUGGAAUAACAUAGAGGCAUUAAAUAUGUAAACUCACUGAUGCAGAAAAUAUACAAAGGAUACUGAAAUCAGCAAGUAGCAGUAUAGAUAGCAUGAUCCCUCUAUUUUGCGCAAAUAUAUAAAUAUAAGCUUGCUUUGCAUGAAGAAACAGAGAUUCUUUGGUUUAGAGCCCUAUGCAAGCUUUAAAAAAUUAAAACAUGAGGAUAUAUCCUUUAAUAAAUAAUUGCUUAUGAAAAUAUUAAAAUGACUUAUUCAAGUUCAUACAAUUAAGAAGCAUAGCUAUUAAUAAAAUUCUAUUCUUUUGGCCCAAUCCAUUUUAUAUUUCACAUUAUAUUACUUUAUAAAGCUUACUACUGUCCAUUUGGUUAAUUAAACAUGGUAAUGUCUGUGGUUCCAUAAUGCUUACUGAAAUAUAAAUACACCUAUAGGUUCUCAACACUUCUCCUGAGCUACCUAAAUCUAUCUUUCCAACCUUCUUCAUAUCUUUUCAUUCUCUAAAGACAUCUAGUGUUUUCUGACCUUUAUUUAUUUGGGCAACUAGCCUUGGUCAAGGAAACCUAUCCCAACCCAUUUCUCUCUCUGAAACAUUAAAAAAAUCUUCUAUUUUCAUGGCCUGACAAAGAAUAAGAGAGUAAAUACUGUUGAAUAAAUGAAUAAAUAUCCAUCGGACCAGAUCCUACUAGUCACUUCUCAAAGUUCAUCUCCAACGUUCUAUUCUCUCUGAAAGAUUUUCUAACUUCUCAAUCUUAAGCUGUUAAAUUGAAUGAAUUCAGAAAUUGGAUCAUGUAAAAUCAGCCCCAUAGUUCUACUUCUAAUGAGAAAAAAAGCAAGCAAAACGUUUUUGUUUUUUCUAAGAGAACAAAAGGGAAGAAGAGCCCAGAGAAGAGCUCCCUGCAUGGCACCAGCACCAAGUUUCUUCUUAUGACUACACUUUACUUUUCCGACAAAAAGAAACCUCCUGUCUACCACUGUGGACACCAGGGAUCGAGUCACAUUUUCUAGGCUCAAAUUGUGGAAAUGCCUUUACUAACUAUCUGACCUUAAGGCAUGCUGGUUAAACUCUGUGCCUCAGUACCCUCAAUGUAAAUGUGGGAAAUAUACAUUUGACAGGUUAUGUGAAGGUUAAACAAAUACCCCUGAAGUAACCACAACACCUGACACACUAGCCAGUAAGUACCCCAUUUAGCUAUUAUUUUUACUACUCUCACCUUCACACUGUCACUGCUCUGAUGGGUAUAUUUGCCCAGUUAGGUGAUCAGAACAAGAUUAAAAGCAGGAUGGCACUUACAGUUCAAAAACAUAGGUCCUUACACUGCCCCAUUAGAUUUGUUCUCGGCAAUUUUCAUGUAAUGUUUUCUCAAUAUUUCUACUGAGGAAGAGAAGAAGGUAGUAAACAAAAUCUAGAGAAAGCAGAGGCUGCACAGGCGUAGCAUACAUUCAACUUAGUAAAUACCUGUGGAAUCUUCCCAUGUGCCAGAAGCUAGGCUAGAAGGUAACUGUUUCACAGUAAACAAGACAGUAAAAGUCUAUCCUCAGAGAAUUUACAUUCUAGGUGAAGACAAAUAAUACGCUAAGGAUAAAAUAAAGUUCACGAGUCAAGUAGUGUCAUAUGUUAUGAAGGAAAUGCAGAGGAUGAUGAGACAAGAGGAUAACAGGGCACAACAGAGCUUAUCUGACGAAGUGUAGUCUCAGAAGAUCCCAACCCCAAAAGCAUAUGGGAUGGGCGGUGGGGGCAGAAGGGUGUUGAUGGUUACAACUAUGCUCGUCAGCAAUAGGAAAGUAACUAAAGAGGAAGUGACUAUAAUUUAGAUUAAAGGAACAAGAAAGGAAGUAUAAUAUUUUAAAAGGAGUAAGCAUGGGAGUUAACCCUUCUUCUCACAACCUCUUUAUUCUCUAGUUCCCCAAGGCACUCUUGCAUACUUCAAUAUUAGGCAUAAAAUACCAUUCACCAGACAAACCUUUCACUGGGAAUGGUUAUAUCUUCUUGGAAACUAGGUGGACAAAAAUCUCCUCCAGUUAUUUACAUAAGUUCUAAAACAUUCUCAAUUUUUUUUCAGAAGUAAAUUUAUUCUCCACCUUUUGAUAAUACCUAAAUCUGUCUUUUCCUUACAAUUAAGAUAAAAUAUUUAGGACAGAGCACUAACUUAUUUGACCUAUUAAUGUCAAUAUAUAAAGAAAGCAAAAAUAUCACAGCUUGAAACCAAAUUAAAAAGUAUAAAUAUUAUUAAUUAAAUCCAAGGUCUUUAGUUGUUUGUAGUAAAGGACAACCACUGAAGGUCAGAAGCUCCUAGCCUGGUGUGUGGGACAUCAAAUCCUAAUAGGAGAGUGUGAGAGGGGAGGAGGAAGAUAUGAAUGAGCUGGGAAAAGAAAGCUUGGCACCAAGGCACCCAAUCUCUGGGGCAUGAGGCCACAAAGGCAAAGCAAAAUCUAGGUCUCAUCUCUGAGUGAUUAGAAAUAUUGCCCUUCCUACAAACUCUUUUAGUCAGAAAUUGCUAAUGCUAAGACUGACUGGAUAAAUUUAUUAAUAGGAAGAAUUUGUGAAUUGUCUAAUAUGCCAGUAGGCCCUUGGUGGUUACCAGUCUACAGAUGGAAAUGACAGAAAGCAAAGUUUAGUCUGCUCUAGCAAUUCUUCAUGCAGUUUUAUGCAGCAUUAUGCUUUUGUUAUUUACUUUUGUUUCUGGAACAACUUAUAAAGCAGAAAUAUCGGUAAAUCUAGGAGUGUCUGUCUGUCUCUGUCCCUCUCUCUCAUACACAUACACACUCUCUCUCUCCCCGCAACACAUAAACACAUUCUCUCCACACACGCACACCCCUUUAGUUAACUUCAGAGUGAAACGGCUUUACAAAAUGGACUUCUAAAAUGUGAUCCUAUCUUUUACCUAAAUAACCAAGAUUACUGGUUGUAUUUUGUGCAACCCAUGGUGAAGUUUUCAACAGCAAUAGCAAGGGGAAGCAGCUAGACUUAAUAUAUAUGCUUUCUUCCCUAAAGAAAUAAAUAGGCCAAGAAAGUAAAAGAUGGAAAGGAGGGUUCCCUUUCCUAGAAUUUAUACAACUGCACAGAAUUAAAUAGAUUAGAAAUUGUCCAUCUUUCAGGAUACAAAAGCAUUAUUUCUAACACAUUAGGUGAAGCAAUAUAAUGACUAAUCCAAAAAUCCUACUCAAAAAUGUCCAUAUUCUCUUUAUUAAUGGAAAACCAUCCUGAUGCAUAAGCUACCUCUUAGGAUAGAGCCCUGCCUCCUAUCUAAACCUUAUAAAUGAAUAUGGAUAUAGGUCAAAGGAUAAGGAAAAUUUAACUGGAACAGAAAAUCUGGUUCAGACUCAAAUUAACAUCUUCCUCAUACCUCUUCCUUCUGGCAGUACUUGCAAAACCUGUAGCAACAAACUAUCACUUCAUUAUCUUCCCACAAGACACUGGUUUUCUCUAACACUUCACAAUGCUUCUGAGAUAGCGUAUCUGACAUAACACCUCUACAUCUCUCCCACAUUUAACGAGAUAAAGAAAAGGAAGAAAGAGGGUACACGGUGUUGGUGCUACAAGUGUGAGAAUACAACUCUUCCUGAACAUUCAAAUUAACUACAGAGCUCAAACCAUUUUCACUAUUUUCCCAUUUAGGUAUCUGACAUGUUCUGAGUUCUCCCUUUAAAGUAAUUAACACACUCUAGGGUCGUUCAUUCAGUGUUAACCAAUGACAAUCAUUAACUAAGGGUAGGAGAACCUGUCCCAUUUUAACUAAACUAAAAUAACACACAGUAAUUAAAAAAUUCAUAGUGGUUGUUUUAAUGAUUUUUCUUUAAUAAAAUAAAGUUGAGUAGUCAAAUGUGGUCUUUGAAGAAGGCUAUUUUUAUUUUUUUUUACAGAGCUAGGAUCCGUCAAAGAACAGUAAAUGCUAAGUUUUAAUAUCCAACUUGUUUGUGUAAAAACAUAAUGUUUAAGCUUUCUUCAGUGAUAUUAUUAAAACGAAGACAUAGCUGAUGAGUUCUACCUGUCCUGUAAUAAUACCCAGAAAUAUGUGUAGUGACCUACAUGCAAAAACAGGCAGGAUUUUCAAGGUUGAGACAUAAACUAAAUCUAGAGCUCAGGAAAUUCACAUACUUCUCUCCAACCAAAGCCAUUUACAAGGCCAUCUCCCAACAGGUUUAUUUCAGUGCUUCUCAGCAUCUGUGUGUCUGGGUACAAGUGUUCAGAGGGCAGGAGUCAACCCAUACACUGUGCUUUUAUGGUGCCUUUAGUGAGACUUAACUAAAUUCUACUUGAAAGGCAUCUGACAAUACAAUUGCUGAAAAAUUCAAUGCUCACCCUGCUUGUGAAAUCUUGUGCCUUGUACCUUAUGAUUUCAGCAGUGCCAUGUGUGCUGUGAUAGUUAAGGGCCUGUCAAUGUUUCCAUUAUAAACUCUGGUUUUCAGAGGUUUGUAUCUUGGCCUAUAAAAAUAGAUUCCGGUCUGUAACUUGGCAUAGAAAGUACUGGUAUCAGCCCAAGAGAACAUUUUUUGUUCCAAAGAUUAAAAUAAAAAUCUGUUUAGUAGCUUUAAGUUAAAAGAGUGUUAAAAAAAAAAAAAAAAAGGGGUGGGGGGUGUGGGGGUGAAGUAUAGAAUGUUUUUAAAAACACAAAAAAAAACCCCAGUGCUCAAUGUCUCAUUGCUUCAUUUUAGUUUCUGAAAUGAUUAACACAAUACAAACCAAUGAUACUGCGUAAAUGAAAAACCUAAAAAGAGUUUUAAUUAAAAACACUAUGGUGGAUACCAAAAAAACCCCAUAAAUUUUUGAACAACUACAUAUGUAGUAUCUCAAAUAAUCCCCAUAUUUAAAGACUGUCCAAGUAUUCACCGAUAGUAAAACCAAAACUAUGUUUUUCCAAAUAUGUAAAAAUUAUUUUUAAUGCAUCACUAAAUGUAGAUUUACUACAGAUUAGUAGAGACAAUCUUCAAUCCUCUCUUCAAUUUAUGCUUCAAGAAGUUUCUAAAACAUAUUGUAACUUAAAUAUAAGAAACUCUGAGAUAAUCUUAUAUACUGUUUGUUAAAAGACAUAAUUUAAGUUUUGUGGGAUUUUUUUUUAGCUUAACAAAGAUCCAUUUCCUUCAAAAAUAUAAUGCUGUUAUAUAACACUGCUGCAUCUUUAAAAAACACAUUUUUGAAGCAGUAACAUAUUUGCUAAAUGUGGUACAGGAGUUCCCAUCGUGGCUCAGUGGUUAACAAACCUGACUAGUAUCCAUUAGGACGCAGGUUCAAUCCCUGGCCUCCCUUAGUGUGCUAAGUAUCUGGCGGUUGCCAUGAGCUGUGGUAUAGGUCACAGACGCAGCUCAGAUCCCGCGUUGCCGUGGCUGUGGCGUAGGCCAGCAGCUACAGCUCAAUUCGACUCCUAGCCUGGGAACCUCCAUAUGCCAUGAGUGGUGCAGCCCUAAAAAGACUAAAUAAAUAAACAAAUUAAUUAAUUAAAUAACUAAAAUAAAAUAAAGGGGGUACAAACUAGUACAACUGCCAUGGAGAAUAAUGAGGAUAAUUUGGAAAUACCUACCAAUAUAUUUAUUUAUUUAUACUCACACACACACACAUUGACCUUGAAACUGCAUUCUUAGGACAUUAUGCUAUGAAUAUACUUACAUGUAUGUGAAAGAAUAUAGACAUAAUUUAUAACACACAAUAAUAUUCCUCACAGAAUUUUUAAAAUAGCAAAAUGUUGAUUGGUUGGGGAUCUAUUAAGUAAGUUAUUGUACAUGCAUACAGUGAUAUUAUUAUACAGCUAUUAAAAAUGAACAAAGAGGGAGUUCCCAUUGUUACUCAGGGAGUAAUAAACCCGACUAGUAUCCAUGUGGAAGUCAGUUCCAUCCCUGGCCUUGCUCAGCAGGUUAAGGAUCCAGUGUUGCAGACAUAUCUACUUGGCUUGGAUCUCAUGUUGCUGUGGCCAUGGUGUAAGCCAGUGGCUGCAGCUCCAACUGGACCCCUAGGCCUGGGAACCUCCAUAUGCCACGGGUUAUGGAGACAAAAAAAAAAAGAAGAAGAAGAAGAAGAAGAAAAAAGAAAAACACAAAACAAAGAAUGAUACAGCAAUACAGAAAGGCUUCCAAAUUGUAAUAAGGGCCUAUGCUACUAUUUGUAGGAGAGAAAAUGAGGGAAGAAGAAUAUAUAUAUGUAUCUGAGAAAGUUGUAUUUGUUUUUGCAUUCAUAAAACAUUUUUAGAAAGACAUAAUAAACAAACAACAGAGAUUAAUGGUUUCCCACAAAUAUAAUGUAAUAAUUUUGGGUGGCAUUUCUAAUCAAAGACUCAGUAUCAGAUAGCAUAACCAAAUAACCGUAGAAAGAAAAAAUAACUUUAAGCUUAUAUAAUUACUGAAAACAAUAAAAUUAGGCAUUAUACCUAUACUCAGCCCAGUGGUUCUCAAAUAUUGGUACCUUAUAACAGAAUCCCUCAAGAUCUCAUUAAAACAAAGAUUCCUGGGAGUUCUCCC
rnacentral:lncRNA from 1 species